UACAGAGGUCCCAAGCGUUGUUCGGAUUCAUUGGGCGUAAAGGGUGCGUAGGCGGCGCGGUAAGUCGGGUGUGAAAUCUUGGAGCUUAACUCCGAAACUGCAUUCGAUACUGCCGCGCUUGAGGACUGGAGAGGAGACUGGAAUUUACGGUGUAGCGGUGAAAUGCGUAGAUAUCGUAAGGAAGACCAGUGGCGAAGGCGGGUCUCUGGACAGUUCCUGACGCUGAGGCACGAAGGCCAGGGGAGCAAACGGG
rnacentral:rRNA from 1 species